UCGGGAAUCGGCUAACGGCAGGCCACCUGGCCUUGAACCAGGCGGUGGAGGUUCGAGUCCUCCUUCCCGAU
rnacentral:tRNA from 1 species